rnacentral:lncRNA from 1 species
AGCCCCCUUGGUAUUGUUGAAACUGUCAGAAUGAGAGGAAGUUCAACCAACUGCUUAGGGAGUAAGCUGGCAGGAAGUUUAGAUAUUGUAUCCCCUCACUCUUAACUUUCUGAUAGCCUUGGGUUUAUGGGCAAGCAAAGUUACAAGUUGGGAAGUUGCUUCAAGUGAGUGAGAGGUCUUGGUAAAAGCAUAAUCCAGAGGGGGAGGCAGGAGGGGAUUGUUUUAACAGAUAUUUGAAUGAAAAUAUCAGAAUGAACUGAUGCUAACACACACCUGAUUAUUGAGAAACAAUAACAAAACUCCUAGAUUCAUUUGUCUUUGCGCUAGCACAGGCCCCAACUCCACUGCAGGGCACCCUGUCUACCUUUAUACUGUCCCUAACUGGAAGCUGGUACUGUAGGCUCAGAAAGCCUUAGGAGGCUUUCAUUCUGAACGUAAGGAAAGGAUGUGUGAGCCAGGUGAUGGGCUCUAUUUUAAAUGCUCCCAUUUAAGUUUACCUUAGUCCACUUCACAGUUAAAAGUACAUCUGGAGGACUUGAGCCCUAUCUUGUUGGCGUGACACAUACCAAACCAAGGAUUAGUCAUGAAGAAAGUUCUCUCUCUCUCUUUUUUUUUCUUAAAAAAAAAAAAAAGGAGAUAGAGGGGAAAGGGAAAGGGGAAGAGAGAACAGCUAAAAAAUGUCCAGCCUUUAAAACUGCUUAGAGCCAUCUUAUGAUUGACAUGUUUAUUUCAAAGUGUCCAUUUACAAAAGUGUCCCUUAAACUUGCAAAAGUGUCCCUUAAACUUGCUGACGGUAAUGUUGUUUCAGCUGCACAGGUCUGUCUGGGGACUGGAAGGCAUCCCUGGUGAGUCACUUCAGUAUCUCUGGGAGGCUUCAUCUUAGUUGUCUCUGCUGUUUGAAAAGCUGAGACAUGGAAUGUGUCUCCAUCAUGAGAUUCAGAGUCUUUGUUCUCAGACUAGAGAACUUUGGUUUCUAGGAACAAAGGCACCCAUCCCUCAAGUUGAUAUCCAGGAAUCGAACGUUAAUAACAAGCAGAUUCAAGACCUUUGGAAAUAUCUUAGAGAAAUAUAUUAGAGAAAUACCUUUUUUUGGCCAAUUUAAAAUGAAGAUAUUUUUAUUAGUCUCUCUCUCUCCUCCCUCUCUCUCUCUCUCUCUUCUCUCUCUCUCUCUCUCUCUCUCUCUCUCUCUCUCUGAAAACACAAGGUGGAGAGUAAUGGGAAAAAGAUCGGGCUCAGUGGGAUGCCUGAAAUGAGUGCAUUUAAAAAUCAACUCAGCAUCUGGCUUUCAGUUGAAGUUUGGGUGUUUGGAACAGGAUCCCUGGCAAUAACUGAGAUUGGCAGCUAAUCCAUUACCAGCAGACCAGCAUUACCAGCCUUUCAGAUCAUUCAGAUGAAUUUAGAGCCAUGGUAGUAUCUGCAUAUACGGACAUGACCCUAAAAGCAUCACUUUUACCUCCAGGCCUUCAACUGCUCACCUUUAUGGCUGGAGAUGAGGAAGAUAACUGAAUCUAGGCUCCCCACAGCUGUGUUUGAUCUAUGCCCAGGCUGCUGUGUAGGACUUCAACUGACCAGGAUGACUUAGGGGAUAGACAUGAAGCUCCAUUUCCAAUACUCCUAGGGGUACAGGAUCCACUCUGUGGGACCCACAACAGGGAAGGGAAUGAUGAGGAACAUAUUUUCUCAAAGUGUGCUUUCAGCAUGAGCCACUCCCGUGGAGACAGAGCUCUCUCAUCUCCUGACCUGCCAAAGCCUUCAGGAGAACCAUACCUCAUGUGGCAAAGCCAAUGGAGCCACUCACUGUUCCUAAAUGGGUGCUUUAUUUUCACAUAUAUUCUUUUUUUUUUUUUUUUUUGAGACAGGGUUUCUCUGUAUAGCCCUGGCUGUCCUGGAACUCACUCAGUAGACCAGGCUGGCCUCGAACUCAGAAGUCUGCCUGCCUCUGCCUCCCAAGUGCUGGGAUUAAAGGUGUGCGCCACCACUGCCCAGCCUCACAUAUAUUCUUGCUGUCCUCAUACUUGAGACUGGAAAAUUCUGGCUUAGGGCAUCUAAGAGGCAAAGCAAUAAAUAAGUGAACUUCUACUGGACCAAAGGUGUGUUAGGCUAUGCCUUCUCUACCCACGACAUCAGUGAGCAGAGACAGAACACUCCUCUGCCUGUGAGGACCAGAGGAAGUACUACUUGGCAACAGAAUUUUCUUAAGUCCAGACCUGGAAAAACUGUAUUUUGGAGGGGCAUACCUUCAGGCCUCCAGCCUACCCAUUACUGAGUUGUAGGUGGCCAUCACUGUCCUUUGUAUUUUAUGUGGUUCUGGCGAUGGUAGCCAGCACAUGAGUAUGGUAGACACUAGCCUUCCAGGAUCCCUAUACUCCUAGUACCUUGCAUUAUUUUUGUUCAUUAUUAAAGAUAGUCAAAAAGCAAUACCUCCUCACCCCCAGUAAUUUGAGGAGUUAAACAAACAAACAAACAAACAAACUACUCAGAAAGAAGUGCCUGGAGAGAGAGAGAGCCCUAAACACUAUUUGCAAAGGAAGUCUAGCCUCAGUUUUCCCUGGUGUCUAGCAUGGCUUUGAUGCAACCCCAAAUGUAUGCAUUUUCUGGCUUUGGAGACCCACUUAUCAUUAUCAUUACUACCAUCACCACCACCACUACCACCACCGUCACCAUCACUGUCAUCACCAGCUCAGGGUGCUACGCAUCAUCAUGGUGUUUUAUUAAUGACAGUAACUGGAUGAAUCCCACCUGUCUCUAACUGAGAGCAAAAAGGCCAGACAGAAGAGGAGCAGAAAGAAGAGAAGCGGGCUGCUUUCCUUCAGCUUCAUACCCGGGGAAACCGAGUAAGCCUCUGGGAAGGUCUACCCUGAUUCCUUCCCCAGAGCACUGGAUAAUGUGGAAUGAAACACAAAUACUUUUGAGUACAUGUUCACAGUGCAGGGCAAGCUGCCGAGAAAGAACUCUUUACCUCCUCAUCAAGUUUUCCUCCUCUUUGAGUUCCUAACCAUGAGCCUCGCGUGGACUGUUAUCACCAACCAAACUUUCAAUAGGUGGAUGGGAUCACUAGGUCAUUUUGUUCUGCCUCUCUUUUCUCAUAAAUAUUUCUGCCCAAACUAAAGGAACAGAGAUGAGAUUUGACC